AUACGGAGGGUGCAAGCGUUAUUCGGAAUCACUGGGCGUAAAGGGUGCGUAGGCGGUUUGAUAAGUCUGAUGUGAAAUCCUAUGGCUCAACCAUAGAACUGCAUUGGAAACUGUCAGACUAGAAUACUGAAGGGGCAGAUGGAAUUAGUGGUGUAGGGGUAAAAUCCGUAGAUAUCACUAGGAAUACCGAAAGCGAAAGCGAUCUGCUGGGAAGUUAUUGACGCUGAGGCACGAAAGCGUGGGGAGCGAUCCGGAUUAGAUACCCGAGUAGUCC
rnacentral:rRNA from 1 species